rnacentral:rRNA from 1 species
AUUGAACGCUGGCGGCAGGCCUAACACAUGCAAGUCGAACGGUAACAGGAAGAAGCUUGCUUCUUUGCUGACGAGUGGCGGACGGGUGAGUAAUGUCUGGGAAACUGCCUGAUGGAGGGGGAUAACUACUGGAAACGGUAGCUAAUACCGCAUAACGUCGCAAGACCAAAAAGUGGGACCUUCUGGCCUCUUGCCAUCGGAUGUGCCCAGAUGGGAUUAGCUAGUAGGUGGGGUAACGGCUCACCUAGGCGACGAUCCCUAGCUGGUCUGAGAGGAUGACCAGCCACACUGGAACUGAGACACGGUCCAGAGUCCUACGGGAGGCAGCAGUGGGGAAUAUUGCAAAAUGGGCGCAAGCAUGAUGCAGCCAUGCCGCGUGUAUGAAGAAGGACUUCGGGUUGUAAAGUACUUUCAGCGGGGAGGAAGGGAGUAAAGUUAAUACCUUUGCUGAUUGACGUUACCCGAAGAAGAAGCACCGGCUAACUCCGUG